rnacentral:rRNA from 1 species
CCUACGGGAGGCAGCAGUGGGGAAUAUUGCUCAAUGGGGGAAAGCCUGAAGCAGCGAAGCCGCGUGAGUGAUGAAGUAUCUCGGUACGUAAAGCUCUAUCAGCAGGGAAGCUAAUGACGGUACCUGACCAAGAAGCCCCGGCUAACUACGUGCCAGCAGCCGCGGUAAUCCGGAGGGGGCACGCGUUAUCCGGAUUUACUGGGUGUAAAGGGAGCGUAGGCGGCAGCAAAGGGCUGGAGUGAAAUCGCGGGGCUUAACCCCGGAACUGCUUUGGAAACUGGGCGGCUGGAGUGCAGGAGGGGUAAGCGGAAUGCGUGGUGUAGCGGUGAAAUGCGUAGAUAUUAGGAGGAACACCGGUGGCGAAGGCGGCUUACUGGACUGUAACUGACGUUGAGGCUCGAAAGCGUGGGGAGCAAACAGGAUUAGAUACCCGGGUAGUC